CGCUUUUACCAGAGGACCUGGAAUGCGGAGCUGAGGCAGGAGAGUUUUUCCUUCGUGGAAGGAAAACAACCCCUGUGAGCAAACCCCAACCUGCUCCCAGCAGGAUCUGGGCCGGGAUUCCGGCGCUCCGGGGAUCAUCGGGAUCACCCGUGCGGAUCAGGAAAACGCGCUUUCACCGAUUCCGCCGGAAUCCCGGGAGUUUUCGGGACGCUUUGCUCUGUCCCUGUUGCCGUAAGGAGCUGCUUCCCCGAGGACCCCAAAUUCACGCCAAGGGGCCCCGGAGGUGGAAAUUUUUCAUGGAAGAUGUGGAUUUGGAGGGUUUGGAGUCUCUUCCUGUUCCGGCUGACACCAGGAAAAUAAUUCCCCAAGAGGAAAAACCGGCUCAGGGGUUUUCCAACGGAGACUUUGGCUCUUCCCUCUCCUUCCCAAAAGGAUCGAACGCAGCAUGAGUUUGGGAUUCAGGGAACUUUAGAGUAAAAAAACAGAAAAAAAAAGCCAGGAAUAAGCGGUGGGAAUACGAGGAGCGCGUCCCGGGCCAUGUUCUCCAAGAAGAAGAAGCGGGUGGAGAUCUCGGCACCAUCCAACUUCGAGCACCGGGUGCACACGGGCUACGACCCCUCGGAGCAGCGCUUCACGGGGCUGCCCCGCCAGUGGCAAGGGCUGCUCGAGGAGUCCGCCCGGCGCCCCAAGCCCCUCGUGGACCCCGCCUGCAUCACCGCCAUCCGUGGGGCCCAUAAGCCCAUCGUGCGUGGCUCCAAAGGGACCCGGGAUGGGACCCCCGGGGGCCGGGACAGGACUCUGGCGUGGCUCCUGGACGAGCUGGCGGCCGUGUCUGUGUCCCGCUCCAACUCCCUACGCCAGGACAGCCCCCCCUGCCCCUCCCGGCACCCCCCGGAGAACGGCCUGGCCCCGGGACCCCCACGCUCCCGCCCGGAGCCCGGCAAGAGCCGCCGCGGGGACCCCGAGCCAAGCCCCCCCCAGUCCCGGGAGCGGGGAGACCCCAAAGCUGCGGCCGGGCGGGAGCCCCCCCACCCUCACCCCCACCCCCCCGGGGGCCGCCCCAAAUCCAGCUCAGCCGGAGAGGGGCCCCCCCGGCCCCCACCCCGCGAGCAGCGCCCGCUCUCAGGGCCCGACCUGCGGCCCCCCGACAUUCCCGGCGCUCCCGGCGCUCCUGGAGCGGGGCUGAAGACGGCGCCCGGACGCCCCUUCCACACCUAUCCCCGUGCCGACACCGACCCUGGCCGGGGGGGUAGUGCCCAGGUAAAGGGGUGUCCCCAGGCCUUUCCUUAUCCUCCUCUUCCUGCUCUCCUCUUCCAGAGUGGGUUCUCUGCUCCUCUUCCUCACGGCUUCCCAUGCUCCGCUGGGAUCAGCAACAGCUUCCUUCCCCAGUCACAUCCUUGGCUCUGGAGCAGUUUCCUCUUCUUCUUCUCCUUCUUCUUCUUCUUCUUCUUCUUCUUCUUCUUCUUCUUGUUCUUCUUCUUCUUUUUCUUUUUCUUCUUCAUCUUCAUCUUCUUUUUCUUCUUCCGCUUCUUCCUCCUCCUCGCUGUGCUUGCCCUGUUCUUUCUCAGAAGCGGUUCCUCUGCUCCUCUUCCUCACAGCUUCCCAGAAUCGGGAUGUGCAGGGGCCACCACCUCCCCUGCCAGUGCUGCGUCCUUGGCACCAAACCAGUUUCCUCUUCCUUGCUCUGCCUCUUCUCUUCCUCCUUGGAAGCGGCUCCUCUGCUCCUCUUCCUCGCAACUUCCCUUGUCCCAGUCAGAAUCAGAGCAUCCUGAAGGCCACUGGCUCCGCGCUUCCUUCCUGGUGCUGCAUCUGUGUCUCUUCCUCUUCCUCUUCCUCACUCAGCCCUUCCCUCCGGCCUGUGCCCGGAGGCCCCGGCGCUGGCCCCCGACAUUCCCACAGGAAUUCCGGGGGCUGACGCUCCUCUCCCCUGUCCCUACAGGCCGAGCACCACCCGGGACGCCCGCAGGAGGCGACCCCCAACGGGCCGGUCCCUGCUGGCGCUCCCGGCGCUCCCAGUGCUUCCCACGCCCCCGGCCCCCCACGCCCCAAAGCCCCGGAGCCGCCUCCCCUGGCCCCGGAGCCCCCGGCCCCGCGUCCCCCCGGCCCCACGCCCGCCCCAGCGGGGGGGCCCCAGCGCGUGUCCCACGAGCAGUUCCGGGCAGCGCUGCAGAUGGUGGUGGACCCCGGCGACCCCCGCACGUACCUGGACAACUUCAUCAAGAUCGGCGAGGGCUCCACGGGCGUCGUCUGCAUCGCCACCGUGCGCGGCUCCGGCAAGCUCGUGGCCGUCAAAAAGAUGGAUCUGCGCAAGCAGCAGCGGCGGGAGCUGCUCUUCAACGAGGUGGUGAUCAUGCGGGACCACCAGCACGAGAACGUGGUGGAGAUGUACAACAGUUACCUGGUGGGUGACGAGCUCUGGGUGGUCAUGGAGUUCCUGGAGGGCGGCGCUCUGACUGACAUCGUCACCCACACCAGGAUGUCGGAGGAGCAGAUCGCGGCCGUGUGCCGCUCGGUGCUGCGGGCACUCGCCGUGCUCCACGCCCAGGGCGUCAUCCACCGCG